ensembl:lncRNA
GAGACCCCCCAGGGUCGUUACAGUAGAGCAGAUAGAGGGGACGUUGUUCCAGCUGCAGUGACACCACUGUUCUGUGUGGAGUCAGACACGCCCGCUUUACGUUAGUCCGGGAACCAUGGCAAUGACAGUUGGUUAGCUAGCGUGUCGCCGCUGUUCUGUGUGGAGUCAGACACGCCCGCUUUACGUUAGUCCGGGAACCAUGGCAAUGACAGUUGGUUAGCUAGCGUGUCGCCGCUGUUCUGUGUGGAGUCAGACACGCCCGCUUUACGUUAGUCCGGGAACCAUGGCAAUGACAGUUGGUUAGCUAGCGUGUCGCCGCUGUUCUGUGUGGAGUCAGACACGCCCGCUUUACGUUAGUCCGGGAACCAUGGCAAUGACAGUUGGUUAGCUAGCGUGUCGCCGCUUAGAAAAGGUCUGACUGCACGAACGUUCACUGUUGCAGUGCUGCCUUUGGGAGCAUGUGGUCCUUGAAACACUUCUCUAGUCCAGCAAUAUGAGUGUGCCAGAGGUCGUCACGCUGGACGGGAGGCUGUGGUGGUCCACGAUAACGAAGAAGCAGGUGUCCCUUCCGGUGAUGUGGAACUGACCUUGGACUUGGACCUGGUGCCAGGAAGGAUGGUCGUCACAGAGGCAGUAAGACCUUCCCUCCGCUUGGAUAUAGAAAUCAUUCGACCUCCUCUUCAAUGGUCAGGUCCCUUUUAGGCACCAUAGGAACACUUGACCUCCACCACCAGACCAUCCGGUGAGGCACCCAGGAUCCCAGACCGUUUGGUGAGGGGCACCCAGGAUCCCAGACCAUCCGGUGAGGCACCCAGGAUCCCAGACCAUCUGGUGAGGGGCACCCAGGAUCCCAGACCAUCCGGUGAGGCACCCAGGAUCCCAGACCAUCUGGUGAGGGGCACCCAGGAUCCCAGACCAUCCGGUGAGGCACCCAGGAUCCCAGACCGUUUGGUGAGGGGCACCCAGGAUCCCAG